rnacentral:rRNA from 1 species
CACGUAGGGCGCGAGCGUUGUCCGGAAUUAUUGGGCGUAAAGAGCGUGUAGGCGGCCAGACAGGUCCGUUGUGAAAACUGGAGGCUCAACCUCCAGACGUCGAUGGAAACCGUCUGGCUAGAGUCCGGAAGAGGAGAGUGGAAUUCCUGGUGUAGCGGUGAAAUGCGCAGAUAUCAGGAAGAACACCCGUGGCGAAAGCGGCUCUCUGGGACGGUACUGACGCUGAGACGCGAAAGCGUGGGGAGCGAACAGG